UUCGGGGUACUCGAGUGGCGAACGGGUGAGUAACACGUGGGUGAUCUGCCCUGCACUUUGGGAUAAGCCUGGGAAACUGGGUCUAAUACCGAAUAUGACCACGCGCUUCAUGGUGUGUGGUGGAAAGCUUUUGCGGUGUGGGAUGGGCCCGCGGCCUAUCAGCUUGUUGGUGGGGUAAUGGCCUACCAAGGCGACGACGGGUAGCCGGCCUGAGAGGGUGACCGGCCACACUGGGACUGAGAUACGGCCCAGACUCCUACGGGAGGCAGCAGUGGGGAAUAUUGCACAAUGGGCGCAAGCCUGAUGCAGCGACGCCGCGUGAGGGAUGACGGCCUUCGGGUUGUAAACCUCUUUCAAUAGGGACGAAGCGCAAGUGACGGUACCUAUAGAAGAAGGACCGGCCAACUACGUGCCAGCAGCCGCGGUAAUACGUAGGGUCCGAGCGUUGUCCGGAAUUACUGGGCGUAAAGAGCUCGUAGGUGGUUUGUCGCGUUGUUCGUGAAAACUCACAGCUUAACUGUGGGCGUGCGGGCGAUACGGGCAGACUAGAGUACUGCAGGGGAGACUGGAAUUCCUGGUGUAGCGGUGGAAUGCGCAGAUAUCAGGAGGAACACCGGUGGCGAAGGCGGGUCUCUGGGCAGUAACUGACGCUGAGGAGCGAAAGCGUGGGGAGCGAACAGGAUUAGAUACCCUGGUAGUCCACGCCGUAAACGGUGGGUACUAGGUGUGGGUUUCCUUCCUUGGGAUCCGUGCCGUAGCUAACGCAUUAAGUACCCCGCCUGGGGAGUACGGCCGCAAGGCUAAAACUCAAAGGAAUUGACGGGGGCCCGCACAAGCGGCGGAGCAUGUGGAUUAAUUCGAUGCAACGCGAAGAACCUUACCUGGGUUUGACAUGCACAGGACGACUGCA
rnacentral:rRNA from 1 species